UACGAACGCUGGCGGCGCGCUUAACACAUGCAAGUCGAACGGAAAGGCCUGCUUUCCCUUGUGGAUUGCGGGUACUCGAGUGGCGAACGGGUGAGUAACACGUGAGUGAUCUGCCCCCAACUUGGGUAUAAGCCUGGGAAACUGGGUCUAAUUCCCGAUAGGACUGCAGGGUGGUGCCUGUGGUGGAAAACGAUUUUCUAGUGGUUGGGGAUGAGCUCGCGGCCUAUCAGCUUGUUGGUGGGGUAAUGGCCUACCAAGGCGGCGACGGGUAGCCGGCCUGAGAGGGUGGACGGCCACAUUGGGACUGAGAUACGGCCCAGACUCCUACGGGAGGCAGCAGUGGGGAAUAUUGCACAAUGGGCGGAAGCCUGAUGCAGCGACGCCGCGUGGGGGAUGACGGCCUUCGGGUUGUAAACUCCUUUCGACCGCGAGGAAGCCACCUGGUUGGAAGGGUGGUGACGGUAGUGGUAGAAGAAGCACCGGCUAACUACGUG
rnacentral:rRNA from 1 species